CUGAAUUUAGGUUAUAAUUUAUAGUGUUACAAUUCACUAUAUAUAAUAAGUUCUUCAUUGGACAUGAUACAUCAUUAGCUUAAAACAACAUCCAUGCAUGAUCCAUCACAAUUAUAUGAAAAUAUAAAACAGUGUUGUUUUUUAUGUUUUUAACAUAAUGAUUUUCAACAAAGGUGCAUCUACAUACUCAUAAAUAACACAGCUAUAUAACUAAUACCUGACAAUUAAUUAAUUAGAAAGGGAACAGCGCUUUAACAUCGAUAAGGCAGUGUAUAUAGCCAAUCACUUACAUUAGAGGAUGCGUUGACAUAAUCUUUCAAGAUUAUUGACCUGCCUUCUCUUAUCUGAACUUGAAAAUACGUGAUAUUGAUCGCAUUUUUCCAGGUAACAUCGUUCCAAUUUAAAAACAUAGUUACAUGACUGUUGUUUGACGUAUCCCUUGUAAAGCUUGCAUCGAUAGAGCCUCGAAUGUGGCUGGUUCCUUGAUCUACUGUAUAGUAAAGUAAAGAAAGAU